ensembl:lncRNA
UAUUAAAUUCCUGGUUCUAUCCCGGCUGCGGUCUUCACAGAUCUGUUCUGGAAGCUAGGAAGAGCUGACAGUCAUCUUUCUCAGUACUCGGUCUCUGAGCUUUCAGAGGCCUUUCUGUAGUAUUUCAGCAGCGAAGUGCUUGCUUUCUACAGAACUUUGAUGGGACUACUUCAGAUUUGGUGAUAGCUGCUGUGACAGCAGGAAAUACAUUUAUGAUUGACAGAAGUAGAUGUUGUGUCAUGGAAUUAUGGGCGCAGUGUGGUCAUAAGACACAGCCUGUUUCCCUUGUUAUCUUCGGCUAUGAGCUAAUAUUGUUUAUACAGAAAAGGAAGUGUUUGUGUUUUGGGUUUGUUUUUCCUUUUCCUGUAGGGGUACUAGCUAAUUCCAGCUAUGAAGAUUUUAUGCUGUGGCUCUUACGUUGGAGGGAUAACUUAUUAUGUGUAAGCUUCAUCUGUACUGUGACACUUAAUCCUAUAUGAAGACUGUGAGUGUGUGUUAGGAGGAAACUUGAAAAAAGUUCAUUUGUUGUGUUGGAAGUGUAAGAUUAGUUGAUAAUAUGUGGAAAUGACUUGCUUGUCUAAACUGACAACUGAAUAUGGCUGAACAGGCCUGUGGAUAAGGUUGUUGGCAGCUUUGUGGUGAAAACCAUGGAGAAUAGUUACUAAUGUGGAGAACUGAAUUGGAAUUGGUGAUGGAAGAGUUAAAAGCUGCAUCCCAGCUCAGUCCAGGUUUUCAAAAUGAUGCUAUCGGAGUAUAAAUCAGAUACAAAAAAAUAAUUUGGUGUGAAGGACAAGAGUGUAUUUCUGGCAUACUUUAGCAAAACCUUUCAUGGUGAAAAUUCCUUCAACAGAUUCUUACCUAUUGGAUGUACCUUCUCAAACAUAAAUAUGAAAUGUGAUGAAUAUAGGAGCUUAAAUUGUAUCAGGUUUUCAAGAGAGCCAGACAUAAGCAAAAUGCUCCCCCUUACCUCUCCCCCACUGCAGUCUCUGCACAGAUGGAGUUGUAUCAGUGCUAUUGAACUGGUGGCAUUACUACUGGUUUGCUCAAGUGACUAGUGAGUGGUGGUUUUGGCAGUGUGAGUGAGAUUCAGACUUGAAGCCUGACUCCCUUAUACAGGAUUAAAAACCUGGAGUUUGCAAAGCUCUAGGUGAGAGUGUUCUGUUGAUUUGUCAUGAAAGAGAAUUAAUGGGAAUUGGCAGGGCAUGUAAUGCCAGUGACUUUAAUGCUUGAGUCUCUGCUGUUAUCUUAUGUCUUCAGUUGCAUGUUCAAGGAGCUGUGUCAAGCAUUCAUGUACAAAACAUACUCAAAUAUUAGGCUCUCAACAUUUUGCAAGUGUUAUGGGUUUCUGUUUGUGUAACCAUGCUGUCCAAGACACUGUGCAAAGAAACAAGGCUUGCUUUCGUCAGUGGAGAUGGUGUCUGUGGAUGAGGAAAAUCUUGAUAAGGAAGCUUCAGGAGGUCGUUGUAUUAUUAUUUCCAUCAGCAAUUCAAAUGCUUAAGUCGAAGUAGUUCUGAAAUGGAAAUAGCAGUUUUGAGUAUUUAUGAUUUGAAAGUGUCUGUGUCUGAGUCAUUCUGUGAAUUUUCUGGCAGACGGUGUUAGUAGAUCUGAAAAGACAUUAUACAAGAUAAUGGUAUUGAUUAUGAAAAAGUGUUUGGGAUGGUGUUUAAGGAGAAGACUAUCAAAAUUUAUCAUUCUCUGACAAAACUUAUUUGAAGUGCCUUAUCUUCUCUACGAGACACUGUAUUUCAGUUGGUUGUGCUUGACAUGGUGACUGGCUGCCUCUGCUUUUUAAAGCAAUGUCUUUGUCAAGACAAGUUCAACGAAGAAACUGGUUUUCAAAAACUAAGAAUAUGGAGGCAAACAAGGUACUAGUUCUGCUUCUUCAGAAAACAGAUUUCUGAAAACAUUUUUAACUUGUUUAUUUGGAUACGCUCCUACUACCAGAACUUUUUAUUUCUGAAGUAGGAUGCUGCGUAUCAGUAUGUACACUGAUAAGAAGCAGGAGGUGAAUUGUUUCCACACAGUUCCUGUUGAAGUGCAUUGAAAAGAAUGUCCUGGUGCCUUCUUUUUGGCAGAGUGAGAGAUUCAGACUUUUAUUAUCAGGUAACUGUAAAACUGAGCUGGAGUUUAAUUUGCCCAGUGGUUACAAAUGUUUUCCGGAAAGCCUGUCUCAGUGGUUUGACGUAAAAAUAAAAUCUUUGUCCAGUUUGAAGAUGAACCUCAAGGUUUCCUUUCAGGACACAAUAGCAAUCUUUUUGUAUACAGAAGACUGUUCACUAUGUUGGGAUGUGGCAGCUGGUGUGGUGAUAAGCAGCCAGCCUCUCUGAGGAAAGGAGGUGCCACAGUUUAUGCUGCUGCUGCUUGAUUUGAGAAGUAGCAAAGAACUUGAGCUGAGGAGGUGUUUGUAAAAUUAAGGUGUUCGGAAUUUUGAAGAGGAAAUGUUAUAUGCCUAAUACCCAUUUACCUUCUGAUUUAGCAUAAUUUUCAAUUAUAAUUUCUUUGGAAUUUUCAGA